UACGAGGGGGGCGAGCGUUUGUUCGGAAUUAUUGGGCGUAAAGGGUGCGUAGGCGGUUUGGUAAGUCUUGUGUGAAAUCUACAGGCUCAACUUGUAGUCUGCACGAGAAACUGCCGGGCUUUGAGUGUGGGAGAGGUGAGUGGAAUUCCUGGUGUAGCGGUGAAAUGCGCAGAUAUCAGGAGGAACACCGGUGGCGAAGGCGGGUCUCUGGGCCGAUACUGACGCUGGAGGAGCGAAAAGCGUGGGGGAGCGAACAGG
rnacentral:rRNA from 1 species